UAAAUGAACAGCGUAGUACAAAACUAUUACACAUCUCUUCUUGGAAAUAAGUGCAAACCUGUUUAAGAGAUUUCAUCUUGGAUAUAAAAUAGAAUAAUAUACGACAAAAGAAGCCUAGCAAACUGGCACUAAGGGGUAAGGUAACUUGCUUAUGAUGACUUGGUUCCUAGGUGCCACCUAAAAUCUGCCUCCCAGGUGUGUGCUCCCCUUCUUAUGCUGCCUCCCACAGGAACGUCAUUUGUUCAGCACCCACUUAGUGAGCACCCGCCCACACAGCAGUUCCGAUGUGUUCUUGAAAAUCUGGACCAAAGAACAAAGCCAAAGAAAACGAGAUGAAAACCACCGAGUGUUCGAUUACCCAAAGCGAAGCCACAUUGACGUCUUGGCUUAUUGGCCUGUUUCCGUAUGAGAUACUAAAUUCUCACGCACUCAUGUAUAGAAUGUGACAGUUUGCUUUCUCAGGUACCAUGCCCAUCAAUUUUUACACAAUUCCAGUUUUAGUAAACAUUUUUCUAACGACACGAGGUCCCUUUCCUUUGUUACUGGAUGUCUAGGUCGUUUCAGCUUGCGCUGUUGUGUAUGACUGUGAGGAGGCAAUAUCUAGAAUAGCACGCAGAACAUGACUUUCAAGUCAGAUAGGCCUGGGUUCGCCACUUGCUCUGCAACUUCAAAUAACUUAUUUAACCUUUCUGAGCCUCAUUUUACACAUCAGUAACAUGAGGAUAAUAGUUCUCUUCACGUAGGGUUAUUAUGAGAAUUAAAUAAAAUAGUGAAACUGCUGGAACGUGCUAGCUAUUUCUGUAGGCAAGUUUUGUUUUAGUUUCUUUUGUUCUAAUUUUUUUGUGGCACACAUGGUUUACUUCCAGAUUUUGUAUAAAUACUGUCACCA
rnacentral:lncRNA from 1 species